rnacentral:rRNA from 1 species
ACGAACGCUGGCGGCGUGCUUAACCCAUGCAAGUCGCACGGUGAAGGGAUCAGCUUGCUGGUUCUGGAUGAGUGGCGAACGGGUGAGUAACACGUGAGUAACCUGCCCCCUUCUUCUGGAUAACCGCAUGAAAGUGUGGCUAAUACGGGAUAUUCUGCGCCUGCUGCAUGGUGGGUGUGGGAAAGAUAUUGUUUCGGUGGGGGAUGGGCUCGCGGCCUAUCAGCUUGUUGGUGGGGUGAUGGCCUACCAAGGCGGUGACGGGUAGCCGGCCUGGGAGGGUGGACGGUCACACUGGGACUGAGACACGGCCCAGACUCCUACGGGAGGCAGCAGUGGGGAAUAUUGCACAAUGGGCGCAAGCCUGAUGCAGCGACGCCGCGUGAGGGAUGGAGGCCUUCGGGUUGUGAACCUCUUUCGCCAGUGAAGCAGGCCUGUCCCUUGUGGGUGGGUUGACGGUAGCUGGAUAAGAAGCGCCGGCUAACUACGUG